rnacentral:rRNA from 1 species
UUAAGCGACUAAGCGUACACGGUGGAUGCCCUGGCAGUCAGAGGCGAUGAAGGGCGUGCUAAUCUGCGAUAAGCGCCGGUAAGGUGAUAUGAACCGUUAUAACCGGCGAUACCCGAAUGGGGAAACCCAGUGUGAUUCGUCACACUAUCAUUAACUGAAUCCAUAGGUUAAUGAGGCGAACCGGGGGAACUGAAACAUCUAAGUACCCCGAGGAAAAGAAAUCAACCGAGAUUCCCCCAGUAGCGGCGAGCGAACGGGGAGGAGCCCAGAGCCUGAAUCAGCAUGUGUGUUAGUGGAAGCGUCUGGAAAGGCGCGCGAUACAGGGUGACAGCCCCGUACACAAAAGCGCAUGUGCUGUGAGCUCGAUGAGUAGGGCGGGACACGUGGUAUCCUGUCUGAAUAUGGGGGGACCAUCCUCCAAGGCUAAAUACUCCUGACUGACCGAUAGUGAACCAGUACCGUGAGGGAAAGGCGAAAAGAACCCCGGCGAGGGGAGUGAAAAAGAACCUGAAACCGUGUACGUACAAGCAGUGGGAGCACAGGUUUACCUGUGUGACUGCGUACCUUUUGUAUAAUGGGUCAGCGACUUAUAUUCUGUAGCAAGGUUAACCGAAUAGGGGAGCCGGAGGGAAACCGAGUCUUAAUUGGGCGUUAAGUUGCAGGGUAUAGACCCGAAACCCGGUGAUCUAGCCAUGGGCAGGUUGAAGGUUGGGUAACACUAACUGGAGGACCGAACCGACUAAUGUUGAAAAAUUAGCGGAUGACCUGUGGCUGGGGGUGAAAGGCCAAUCAAACCGGGAGAUAGCUGGUUCUCCCCGAAAGCUAUUUAGGUAGCGCCUCGUGAAUUCAUCUCCGGGGGUAGAGCACUGUUUCGGCUAGGGGGCCAUCCCGGCUUACCAACCCGAUGCAAACUGCGAAUACCGGAGAAUGUUAUCACGGGAGACACACGGCGGGUGCUAACGUCCGUCGUGAAGAGGGAAACAACCCAGACCGCCAGCUAAGGUCCCAAAGUCAUGGUUAAGUGGGAAACGAUGUGGGAAGGCCCAGACAGCCAGGAUGUUGGCUUAGAAGCAGCCAUCAUUUAAAGAAAGCGUAAUAGCUCACUGGUCGAGUCGGCCUGCGCGGAAGAUGUAACGGGGCUAAACCAUGCACCGAAGCUGCGGCAGCGACACUGUGUGUUGUUGGGUAGGGGAGCGUUCUGUAAGCCUGCGAAGGUGGCCUGUGAGGGUUGCUGGAGGUAUCAGAAGUGCGAAUGCUGACAUAAGUAACGAUAAAGCGGGUGAAAAGCCCGCUCGCCGGAAGACCAAGGGUUCCUGUCCAACGUUAAUCGGGGCAGGGUGAGUCGACCCCUAAGGCGAGGCCGAAAGGCGUAGUCGAUGGGAAACGGGUUAAUAUUCCCGUACUUGGUGUUACUGCGAAGGGGGGACGGAGAAGGCUAUGUUGGCCGGGCGACGGUUGUCCCGGUUUAAGCGUGUAGGUGUGUGUUCCAGGUAAAUCCGGUUCACUUUAACACUGAGGCGUGACGACGAGGCACUACGGUGCUGAAGCAACAAAUGCCCUGCUUCCAGGAAAAGCCUCUAAGCAUCAGGUAACAUCAAAUCGUACCCCAAACCGACACAGGUGGUCAGGUAGAGAAUACCAAGGCGCUUGAGAGAACUCGGGUGAAGGAACUAGGCAAAAUGGUGCCGUAACUUCGGGAGAAGGCACGCUGACACGUAGGUGAAGUGAUUUACUCAUGGAGCUGAAGUCAGUCGAAGAUACCAGCUGGCUGCAACUGUUUAUUAAAAACACAGCACUGUGCAAACACGAAAGUGGACGUAUACGGUGUGACGCCUGCCCGGUGCCGGAAGGUUAAUUGAUGGGGUCAGCGCAAGCGAAGCUCCUGAUCGAAGCCCCGGUAAACGGCGGCCGUAACUAUAACGGUCCUAAGGUAGCGAAAUUCCUUGUCGGGUAAGUUCCGACCUGCACGAAUGGCGUAAUGAUGGCCAGGCUGUCUCCACCCGAGACUCAGUGAAAUUGAACUCGCUGUGAAGAUGCAGUGUACCCGCGGCAAGACGGAAAGACCCCGUGAACCUUUACUAUAGCUUGACACUGAACAUUGAGCCUUGAUGUGUAGGAUAGGUGGGAGGCUUUGAAGUGUGGACGCCAGUCUGCAUGGAGCCGACCUUGAAAUACCACCCUUUAAUGUUUGAUGUUCUAACGUGGACCCGUUACCCGGGUUGCGGACAGUGUCUGGUGGGUAGUUUGACUGGGGCGGUCUCCUCCUAAAGAGUAACGGAGGAGCACGAAGGUUGGCUAAUCCUGGUCGGACAUCAGGAGGUUAGUGCAAUGGCAUAAGCCAGCUUGACUGCGAGCGUGACGGCGCGAGCAGGUGCGAAAGCAGGUCAUAGUGAUCCGGUGGUUCUGAAUGGAAGGGCCAUCGCUCAACGGAUAAAAGGUACUCCGGGGAUAACAGGCUGAUACCGCCCAAGAGUUCAUAUCGACGGCGGUGUUUGGCACCUCGAUGUCGGCUCAUCACAUCCUGGGGCUGAAGUAGGUCCCAAGGGUAUGGCUGUUCGCCAUUUAAAGUGGUACGCGAGCUGGGUUUAGAACGUCGUGAGACAGUUCGGUCCCUAUCUGCCGUGGGCGCUGGAGAACUGAGGGGGGCUGCUCCUAGUACGAGAGGACCGGAGUGGACGCAUCACUGGUGUUCGGGUUGUCAUGCCAAUGGCACUGCCCGGUAGCUAAAUGCGGAAGAGAUAAGUGCUGAAAGCAUCUAAGCACGAAACUUGCCCCGAGAUGAGUUCUCCCUGAGACUUAGAGUCUCCUGAAGGAACGUUGAAGACGACGACGUUGAUAGGCCGGGUGUGUAAGCGCAGCGAUGCGUUGAGCUAACCGGUACUAAUGAACCGUGAGGCUUAACCU